rnacentral:lncRNA from 1 species
AUGCCUUGUAAUCUACAGGCCCGUGGAUCAAGCAAUGGGAAGGACACACUGAGCAGCUGCAGAGUUGAAGCUAGACUCAAGUUCAGGAAGCUGUGCAAUGCGCAGGAAAUACAAAGUACAAAAGUAAGUUCAAUGGGAAAACAGGAACGGAGAGGAAAUAAGCCUAUGAUUUGUAAUUUAAGCAAAUACAAGUGGACCAUGGCUCCUACAACAAAAAAUCAUGUCGCUUCUAUUUACAGUGCCUGUAUGGAAAUUGCCUCUGAAAAAGCCAGUCCCGGAAACAGAGGAGCAGCCAUGAUACAGAACAAAAAGCCCUUAAGGCAGAAAAACCCCAAAGUACUGCCCUUUGAGGCUAGCUGUUUCUCAAGACCCCACAGACCUGCGUGAAGGAGGUGCUGUGAUGAUGAUGUCACUGCUGAAGGAGGACAGACAGAAGGGGAAGACUUAACUCUCUAAUCUCCCCCUCACAUGUGGCUUUCACCAUGUUUAAUUUUUCAGUCUAUUUUUUUUGUGG